rnacentral:lncRNA from 1 species
GGUUCUCAAAUCAUAAAUGCUAAGGUACCUGUUCAUUUCCACGAAAAUUCUACCAAAUUGAGAUUUUUCUAAAAUUCUAAUUCUUAAAAUAUAAUUUAACAUGCUGAUCAACACCACAAGUAUAAACCUAUGUAAAAAAAAUACAGAUAGUGAGUUAGAAAAGAUCACAAGAAGGCUCACUAUGGAGCUCGCCAAAAAGGGUUGUAUCGGUCCUGGUAUUGAUAUGCCUACCCCAGACAUGAGCAUGGCAGACAUGCCCCAGAGAGAGAUAUCCUGGAUCUCUGACACCUAUGCCAGCACCAGAGGGCACUAUGAUAUUAAUGUACAUGCCUGUGUUACUGGUAAACCCAUCAGACAAGGAGGCAUCCAUGGAUGCAUUCUGCUACUGGCCUUGGUGUUUUUCAUGGAAUUGAAAACUUCAUUAAUGAAGCUUCUUACAUGAGCAUUUUAGGAAUGACACCAGGAUUUGGAGAUAAAACAUUUGUGGUUUCUGGGUUUGAUAAUGUGGGCCUGCACUCUGUGAAGUAUUUACAUCAUUUGGGUGCUAAAUGUAUUGGUGUUGGUGAAUCUGAUGGGAGUAUAUGGAAUCCAGAUGGUAUUUACCCAAGUGAACUGUAAGAUUUCAAACUGCAACAUGGAUCAAUUCUGGGCUUCCCCAAGGCGAAGGUCUAUGAAGGAAGCUGACUGUGACAUACUGAUACCCUGCUGCCAGUGAGAAGCAGUUGACCAAAUCCAAUCCACCCAGAGUCAAAGCCAAGAUCAUUGCUAAAUGUUCCAAUGAACCAACCACUCCAGAAGCUGAUAAGAUUUUCCUGGAGAGGAAAAUGGUUAUUCCAGAUAUCUACUUAAAUAUUGACAGAGUGACAAUAUCUUACUUUGAGUGGCCAAAGAGUCUGAAUCAUGUCUUUUCAAAUAUAAAAUGGAUUCUAACUACCAAUUGCUCAUGUCUAUUCAAUGGAGAUUAGAAAGAAAAUUUGGAAAGCAUGGUGGAACAAUUUCUGUUGUACCCACUCCAGAGUUCCAGGACAGGAUAAUGGGUGCAUCUGAGAAAGACAUUGUGCUACACCAUGGAACAUUCAUCCAGGCAAAUUAUGCAUACAGCCAUAAAGUAUAACCUGGGCUUGAACCUGAGAACAGCUACCUAUGUCAAUUCCAUUGAGAAAGUUUUCAAAGUGUACAAUGAUGCUGGCGUGACUUUCACAUAGAUGGAUCAUGGUUAACUUUUUAUGACCCUCUGUAACUUCUGUUGACCUAUCACAAUUUUACAUGUAACUGCACAAAUUUUUCUCUAAUGACUCAUUAAACAAUGGACACAGUUCUCAACAAUUCAGUCUGAUUUAGCCCCUUAAGAAGAAAGAAAUUAUGUUUAGGGGAUCAUGUACAAUCUGAAUAGUGUGAAAAUAGAAAUCACAUAUUCCAGGAAGCUACUGAGGUAAUUUGCUUUUAAAUAAAAAGUAUCUUCCACUGGGGAAAAAUGGUCUUUAUAUGUUUCCCAGUAUGCUGUCCUCACUCCAUGACCUUCCCCUUUGUUUGUGUACUAGACACAAAAUAUCAAUCAUGUGACUCACUGGUUUGGAAUUAAGACAUUAUUA